GAUGAAGAACGUAGCGAAAUGCGAUACGUAAUGUGAAUUGCAGAAUUCAGUGAAUCAUCGAAUCUUUGAACGCACAUUGCGCCCGCUGGUAUUCCGGCGGGCAUGCCUGUUCGAGCGUCAUUUCAACCCUCAAGCCCCCGGGUUUGGUGUUGGGGAUCGGCUCUGCCCUUCUGGGCGGUGCCGCCCCCGAAAUACAUUGGCGGUCUCGCUGCAGCCUCCAUUGCGUAGUAGCUAACACCUCGCAACUGGAACGCGGCGCGGCCAUGCCGUAAAACCCCAACUUCUGAAUGUUGACCUCGGAUCAGGUAGGAAUACCCGCUGAACUUAAGCAUAUCAAUAGCGGAGGA
rnacentral:misc_RNA from 1 species